rfam:Cellvibrio sp. BR genomic scaffold O59_Scaffold1, whole genome shotgun sequence.
CACGCCCUGGAAUGUUUGCAAACCGACAAGUCCUUGAGCCGAUUUCCACAAAAUUGGUGGUAUCUCGUUGUGUUUGGUGUGCAUGUCCGCCUGACGGAAAGCCUUAAAAACCACAGGUGCUACCUCCUUGAACCUAUGGGUUCAAGGCCAGCUUGGUAGCGGCAUUUCGGGGUCUCU